AAGCGGAUCUCUUAAAGCCGUCUCAGUUCGGACUGUAGGCUGCAACUCGCCUACACGAAGCUGGAAUCGCUAGUAAUCGCGGAUCAGCACGCCGCGGUGAAUACGUUCCCGGGCCUUGUACACACCGCCCGUCACACCAUGAGAGUCUGUAACACCCAAAGCCGGUGGGAUAACCUUUAUAGGAGUCAGCCGUCUAAGGUAGGACAGAUGAUUAGGGUGAAGUCGUAACAAGGUAAC
rnacentral:rRNA from 1 species